GUUUUGAGACAGUUUCAAGAAAGGCUCUGCCAAUUUUCUGAUAGAAGUCAAGCCCUAAAGUUGUUUAGAAUUAGGGCAAGAAGGGUAUUUGCGUAAUUUUGGACCGACACAUGCCUGGUGUCAGAUAGGGAGAGGGUUCAUCAUGGAUUCCAAGGGGGAAUUCGAGGCGGGUCCUUUCGCACUUUAUCCUUAAUUAACCAUAAACUUAAACACUUCAUCC
rnacentral:lncRNA from 1 species